GACGAACGCUGGUGGCGUGCUUAACACAUGCAAGUCGAACGGGAUUUAGUAAACAGAAGCCUCGGUGGAAGAUUACUAAUGAGAGUGGCGAACGAGUGAGUAACGCGUGAGCAACCUGCCUAUGACAGUGGGAUAGCCUCGGGAAACCGGGAUUAAUACCGCAUAAAAUCGUAGAAACACAUGUUUUAACGGUCAAAGAUUUAUCGGUCAUAGAUGGGCUCGCGUCUGAUUAGCUAGUUGGUGAGAUAACAGCCCACCAAGGCGACGAUCAGUAGCCGGUCUGAGAGGAUGAACGGCCACAUUGGAACUGAGACACGGUCCAAACUCCUACGGGAGGCAGCAGUGGGGAAUAUUGCACAAUGGGGGAAACCCUGAUGCAGCGACGCCGCGUGAACGAAGAAGGUAUUCGUAUCGUAAAGUUCUGUCCUAUGGGAAGAUAAUGACAGUACCAUAGAAGAAAGCUCCGGCUAAAUACGUG
rnacentral:rRNA from 1 species